ensembl:lncRNA
GUUGCAAGGGGGACACUUUUACGUGUGACACAUAUGAUUUGGUUUAUCGAUGUAUUAUAAAGUUGUUCAAGACGCACAUCCAGCCAUAAGAAAGCCAUAACGUCAUACAAGGACUGAAAGGUGACGUUUGCAACGGUAAACUCUUUUUGUGUGAAGGAACAUUCUUCUUUUUGAUCAUUUUUGUGUUUGUGACGAAGCGGACUCAUUCCCUGUUUGCGUAAAUGCGGCCAGCGAGGAUGUCUGAGGGGGCGGAGCCAAAUCAUUACGACAUCAGACUCACCUGGACUGAUCACCUGAGAACUACUUAACCUGUCACUCGGUCUGAUUGAUUCUUCUGUUCUGGUUUUAUCUGGUGUGUUUGUCCAACCUGCAGCUCAGUCGCUGUAAAAAGUCAGUCCAUCCUCGCCGACUUCAACACCUCUUCAUGACAACUUGUUCUGCCUCCGACCUCGUGGAAACUCAAGAAACUCGGGAAAACCUGUCGAGACUCGAAGAACUCGUGGCGACUCGAAAAACUCGUCGGGCGGGGGAAGGUGUGGUGGGCGGUGGGGGAGUAGAGGGGGGAGGCCGCCACCCACCUUCCCGCCUACUCUCCGCCCUGGCUCCACCCAGACUCCGCCUUGGCUCCACCCAUGUGGUCACUUCAGGAACUACGAUGCCAAAGGGACGACGAAUUUAUGUCUUUUCAUCUGAUCUGUAGCUCAGUGAGUUAAGGAUUUGCCUGUGGAGCUGCAGGUCGCUGGUUCAAGACCAGACCCUUCUUAAGUUUUCUCAAAAUCCUGACAAAGACAAAGAAAGAAAAAGGCCGGUGGCGGGUCUCGAACCUGCGACCUACCGCUUGGUAGUCCUCUUCUUAUCCUCCUGAGCUACUCGCUCAGAUACAAAUUCUUCUUUUUUUUGCGCAUUUAUCAUCUAUUUUUUGUCGUCUUCGAGUUUUUUUUGACUCGAGUCUCAACUCGACCGUUUUUCUCAGGAGGUUGGACUUCAGCCUUUGUGCUGGAGGGUUGAACCUUCAGUUCCAAGACUUUCCAAAGCCUCCACACCUCCCGAGUCCUCAGGACCUGAGCUUUCACACAGUCUGAGGGCUGAAAUUUUCUAAGUCCCACAGCAGUUCUCUGUUAGUUUGAACCUUCAAACAGUCCAAGGACUGAAAUCCUCUAAGUUCCUGAGUAGUUCUCUGUUAGUUUGAACCUUUAGACAGUCCAAGGACUGAAAUUUUAAAAGUUUCUCAGUACUUCUCUGUUAGUUUGAACUUUCUGGUUAACAGAAGCCUUAAAACUUGUGACCAUGAGUCUUGAUUUCACAUUUAGACCAUCCAUCUGAGUUCUUCUCAGACCUUCACCUGUGGGUUUUUUAGAAAUCCUUAACAAACUUUGAUUCUCUUCACUGAACAGUAAAGUUUGUGGAGAUCAGAAGGUAACAUUAGUUUGAUCAAUGCCUUCAACUACUAGUAGACUUUAUCUGGAAAGCAGUUUUCUGAAAUGAGUUCUUAGUAAAUAUGUCCACAAUCAAACCAAGAACAUAGAAAGAGGAAAUGUUUGAAGAAACAACUUGUUUUGAUUUCAGACUAGAAAACGCUUAAGACCU